rnacentral:rRNA from 1 species
UGAACGCUGGCGGCGUGCCUAACACAUGCAAGUCGAACGGAGAAUUACGCUGAUGAAGCUUCGGCAGAUCUGUAAAUCUUAGUGGCGGACGGGUGAGUAACGCGUGGGCAACCUGCCUCAUACUGGGGGAUAACAGCUGGAAACGACUGUUAAUACCGCAUAAGCGCACGGUAUCGCAUGAUACAGUGUGAAAAACUCCGGUGGUAUGAGAUGGGCCCGCGUCAGAUUAGCCAGUUGGCAGGGUAACGGCCUACCAAAGCGACGAUCUGUAGCCGGCCUGAGAGGGCGGACGGCCACAUUGGGACUGAGACACGGCCCAAACUCCUACGGGAGGCAGCAGUGGGGGAUAUUGCACAAUGGAGGAAACUCUGAUGCAGCGACGCCGCGUGAAGUGAAGAAGUAUUUCGGUAUGUAAAAGCUCUAUCAGCAGGGAAGAAAGACUCGUAAGAGAGAUGACGGUACCUGACUAAGAAGCCCCGGCUAACUACGUGCCAGCAGCAGC